CUUGAAGUAGAAAUAUGAGCUGCAUCAUCUCCCCCUGUUGUCCAUCGACAUGAAAUGCAGUGUUCUGAAACAUGAGAAAGGCAAUACAUUUCCUCCAGUUCUUUGUAAGCUGAUACGAAGUAGACAGACACCUUCUGAAGUUUUGUGCAUGCUGUGCUCUUUUUUUCUUUGCUGCAACAAGAAAAGUCUUUUCUUUUAACCUGGCUUACUUUGAAGAAGUAACUCAGGAAGCUUCAUGGCCUCUCAAGAAUCUCAACAACAAACAACCACAGUCUUUAAGGAUUACCUCCCUGGUUCUUCUGGCCUUCCUGAACAAGAUAAGCCUGUUGAACCCACAAGCCUCUGGAAGCAAACAUCACAUGCUCAUAACUUGCCACCUGGUCUGGAGUAUCUGAAUCAGGUCCUGGAUAUUUUCAAAUGCUAAAACUGUUCUGUUUUCAUCAUAGACUGAUAAAUUUGGGGGGUGGGGGAGUGUUCUUUUUUUUUUUUUUUUUUUUCCUUGUGAAGAGGGAGUUGGAGAAGGGGAAGCUUUUUGGUUGUCUGAUAUUACUAUGAAAUAAGGAACAUAGGACUAAUAAGCUCUUCCUUCAUUGCUGCCAUUCAUUUUUAUGGAAAACCAUUUGUUGUACAGUUCUCCUUGCCCCCCAAACACAAUUUUCUUCUCUCUAGGACUUGCUUUUUCCUGAUCAUAACUUUUAUCCCUCUCAUUGUCCUGCCCAGAUUCCUUCCAGCUCCUUAAGAGCUCACUUCCAGGGAAACCACUGCCAACCUCCGUCUGACCUCAAAACUAGUCUGGUUGAUGAAAACAAGCAGUGUGCUGAAGGAACUGUCACAUUCCAUCCUUUUGGGAACAUGCAGGUCUUCUGAGCAAAUUCCUUGUGCCCA
rnacentral:lncRNA from 1 species